rnacentral:rRNA from 1 species
CCUACGGGAGGCAGCAGUAGGGAAUCUUCCACAAUGGGCGAAAGCCUGAUGGAGCAACGCCGCGUGGGUGAAGAAGGUCUUCGGAUCGUAAAACCCUGUUGUUAGAGAAGAAAGUGCGUGAGAGUAACUGUUCACGUUUCGACGGUAUCUAACCAGAAAGCCACGGCUAACUACGUGCCAGCAGCCGCGGUAAUACGUAGGUGGCAAGAGUUAUCCGGAUAUAGUGGGUGUAAAGGGAACGCAGACCGUCGUGUACGUCUGAUGUGAAGGCCUUCGGCUUAACCGGAGUAGUGCAUUGGAAACUGGGAGACUUGAGUGCAGAAGAGGAGAGUGGAACUCCAGGUGUAGCGGUGAAAUGCGUAGAUAUAUGGAAGAACACCAGUGGCGAAAGCGGCUCUCUGGUCUGUAACUGACGCUGAGGUUCGAAAGCGUGGGUAGCAAACAGGAUUAGAUACCCGUGUAGUC